rnacentral:misc_RNA from 1 species
UACGGAGGGUGCGAGCGUUAAUCGGAAUUACUGGGCGUAAAGCGCGCGUAGGCGGCCUGAUAAGCCGGUUGUGAAAGCCCCGGGCUCAACCUGGGAACCGCAUCCGGAACUGCUUGGCUAGAGUGCAGGAGAGGAAGGUAGAAUUCCCGGUGUAGCGGUGAAAUGCGUAGAGAUCGGGAGGAAUACCAGUGGCGAAGGCGGCCUUCUGGACUGGCACUGACACUGAGGUGCGAAAGCGUGGGUAGCAAACAGG